CUGGUGUUUGGGUUUUUUUUAGUCAUUAAUUAGUAAAGACUUAAAAUUGCAAUUUUAUACACUUACCCAAUCCUACACAGGGAGCUUUCUCAAUAUUUUAUAAAGCAAUUACCUAGUUGCUUUUUCAGUCAGAAUGCUUAUGGCCAGUAAUGCAUCCCCUCACAUUCAUUCUCCUUGAGCAGCAGACAUGUAAUGACAACACACUGAUAAAAAUGAAAUUGCUGAAGUUUCCCUGAGCAAAGCCUAAGCCAAGAAGGGACAACAGAUUAUUCCUCACUUGUUGCAAGAGUUUAUCCUCCCUUUCAUGCACUUGUCUCCUGCAAGGAUAAAACACAUCAGCAAUUUCUUAGGGAAGCUACUCAAGCAGCACUAAAAAAGCAACAAGGGGAACCCUUGGUAUUUCUUCAUGGUAUACACAAACUCUAAAA